GCAGUCGAGCGGUAACAUUUCUAGCUUGCUAGAAGAUGACGAGCGGCGGACGGGUGAGUAAUGCUUGGGAAUAUGCCUUAUGGUGGGGGACAACAGUUGGAAACGACUGCUAAUACCGCAUAAUGUCUACGGACCAAAGGGGGGGAUCUUCGGACCUCUCGCCAUUUGAUUAGCCCAAGUGAGAUUAGCUAGUUGGUGAGGUAAUGGCUCACCAAGGCGACGAUCUCUAGCUGGUUUGAGAGGAUGAUCAGCCACACUGGGACUGAGACACGGCCCAGACUCCUACGGGAGGCAGCAGUGGGGAAUAUUGCACAAUGGGCGCAAGCCUGAUGCAGCCAUGCCGCGUGUGUGAAGAAGGCCUUCGGGUUGUAAAGCACUUUCAGUAAGGAGGAAAGGGAUGUAGUUAAUAACUGCAUUCUGUGACGUUACUUACAGAAGAAGCACCGGCUAACUUCGUGCCAGCAGCCGCGGUAAUACGAGGGGUGCAAGCGUUAAUCGGAAUUACUGGGCGUAAAGCGUUCGUAGGCGGUUGAUUAAGCAAGAUGUGAAAGCCCAGGGCUCAACCUUGGAACUGCAUUUUGAACUGGUCAACUAGAGUACUGUAGAGGGUGGUGGAAUUUCCA
rnacentral:rRNA from 1 species